rnacentral:rRNA from 1 species
UACGGAGGAUGCAAGCGUUAUCCGGAAUGAUUGGGCGUAAAGCGUCCGCAGGUGGCUAUGUAAGUCUGCUGUUAAAGAGCAAGGCUCAACCUUGUAAAGGCAGUGGAAACUACAUGGCUAGAGUGCGUUCGGGGCAGAGGGAAUUCCUGGUGUAGCGGUGAAAUGCGUAGAGAUCAGGAAGAACACCGGUGGCGAAGGCGCUCUGCUAGGCCGCAACUGACACUGAGGGACGAAAGCUAGGGGAGCGAAUGGG